GAGUUUGAUCCUGGCUCAGGACGAACGCUGGCGGCGUGCCUAACACAUGCAAGUCGAACGGAGAAUUUCAAUAAGCUUGCUUAGAGAGAUUUUUAGUGGCGGACGGGUGAGUAACGCGUGGGUAACCUACCCAUAAAACCGGGACAACCCUUGGAAACGAGGGCUAAUACCGAAUAAUCUUAAGAGAUGGCAUCAUUUUUUAAGGAAAGGUGGCCUCUGAAUAUGCUACCGAUUAUGGAUGGACCCGCGUCUGAUUAGCUAGUUGGUGGGGUAAAGGCCUACCAAGGCGACGAUCAGUAGCCGGCCUGAGAGGGUGAACGGCCACACUGGGACUGAGACACGGCCCAGACUCCUACGGGAGGCAGCAGUGGGGAAUCUUCCGCAAUGGACGAAAGUCUGACGGAGCAACGCCGCGUGUAUGAUGAAGGUCUUCGGAUUGUAAAGUACUGUCUUUGGGGAAGAAUGGUGUGCUUGAAAAUAUUGAGUACAUAUGACGGUACCCAAGGAGGAAGCCCCGGCUAACUACGUGCCAGCAGCCGCGGUAAUACGUAUGGGGCAAGCGUUGUCCGGAAUUAUUGGGCGUAAAGGGCGCGUAGGCGGAUAGUUAAGUCCCGGUGUGAAAGAUCAGGGCUCACCCCUGAGAGUGCAUCGGAAACUG
rnacentral:rRNA from 1 species